GCACUUCCUGUUCCUGUUAUUGUGUCCAACUUCAGUAGAAUUUAUCAUCAAAACCAAAGAGCUGAUAAACGAAAAGCACAAAAGAAAGCGAGAAUCGCCCGUAUUCGAAUGGCCAAAAACGCCAGUGGUGCCGCCUUCAUCAGCAGCAAGAAGCGAGCAGAGGAGGCCAUGCGAGCCCGCGAGAGCGGACUAGAAGUAGAGGACCUGAAAAAUCAAGACACACUGGAGAUGCAGCAUCACCAUUUACUCAGCUGCCUGGAGAAAACCACACGAAGAAACACUGAUUCUGAUCAAGAUGACCUGAACGAUAUUCAAAUUCGACUUCCAACCAUCAACCGAUCCUCUAGAUCGAAUCUGAACGCCGUCAGCGGCGGCGGCGGCGGCGGGGGCGGGGCGACAACUCCAAACAGCAAAUCCAAUAAUCUGACUGUUACUACAGCCAUUGUUACACCACCAACGCCGAGCACAACUCCAGAGACCGAAUCACUCCUGGCGCAAACUGAUCAGUCACCGCCGCCGUAUCCUCAGACUUCUUCUACUCAGACACCGUAUACUUCACAAAACCCUGGAGAUGUGGUUAAAAUAUCCUCAUUGUGAUAAUUAAUCGUGUGUUAGCUAAAAUCUUAACGUCUCACAAUGCUACUAUGAUAUAUUUAAAAUGCAACUCUAGACAAUUGGACAUCGCAAAACAUUUGCACCGAAUCGGCAAUGAUGAUCAUGAUGAUUUAUGACGGAAAAUUAUUGGAUAACUAUACCUCAGUGUUAAAGAAUGAACAGUGAAGGUGUCAAUGAAGGAGCUUCAAUCAAAAUCUUUAUGCGAUGACGAAAAAUAAGUAAAACGGAUAAAAAAAAAUCAAACACGAAGAGGCGUGAAGUAUUUGCUACGAAAUCUGCCCAAAUAAUUCCAUUUUAUUCAUUUUUCAAUGGAUACUGCACUGACCACAGAUAUUGCGGAAUGUUAUUUAUAGUGUGAUUUCUUUCACCAGUUUACCACGUGAUUCUCUUUUCCCGCGGAGAAAAUACAUGGGAUAUGACAAACUUAUCACGUGAUACUUUCCAGAGCGAUGAAUGGUUGAUUUUUUUUAAAAUUAUGUCUAUAGAAAAUAUUGCUCACGUAUAGUGUUAAGUAUGUAGGUGUGUAGAAUUUGCAAUUUUGUAUUUGCAUCAGAUCUCACAUCAUUUUUUGUCACACAUCCGUAUUCAUGCAAAGUGCGAUAACCCCAGAAUCAUUUCAGCAUUUAAAAAAAAAUGAUGUCAAUCCUACUAUGCAUAGUAGACUUAGAGGAUUGUAGGAAAGGAAAAUAAACCAAAGAAUAAGGAAAAAAAUCCUUUUCAAAACAAGUUACAUACAUCAGGAUAUACAGACGUUUUGUUUAAUUUACAUAAGAAUAAAAUUGUUUGGUGAAGAAAAUCUUUUUUCGAAAGUAUAUUUAAAGGCAAAAAUCAACACUUAAUUAUACAAUCAUGUUACAUCAUUGCUCAGUGUAUUAAUUGUGGUGUUCAUUAUCUCGUAAACUUUGCCUAGCGAAAGUUCUAAGUUAAAAGAAAAUGAAACAAGAAUAGCCUUGAAUUCAGGAUAUCACUUUGUUAGUAAAAAACAAAAUAACAUUCUACACUUUACGAACCAUUUAAAAAACCACUCAUUGAUGUAUAUCGUUAUUCAUUUGUAUAUAGACCUCAAAUGCGAUAUCACACUUUGAUAUCAACCUUUAGUACCAAAAGAGAAUUCAUUUUGAACUGAUCGUAAGAAUGGGAUGUAUUUAUUUACCAUAUGCGAAAAUUGAAUGUUGACUUAUUCCUGCAGACAGGGCUUUUUUCGCCCCUUUAUGUUUGCCCAAUCACGGUUAUAAAAGAUUUCGUUCCGUUUUAAAUUACAUGUAGCUCUUGCACAGUUGUGGCUAUAGAGAUAUAAAUUGCAUUUUUUUCAUUUGCCCCUUUUAAAAUUUCCCACACUGUCAAUUAGGCUGAAUUGGGCAAAAAUAAAAAAUGGGCGAAAAUAUUAAGAAUUGUUUACCCCUAUAUAGAUAACCCAUAUUUUCAGGUUUUUAAUCUUUUACUUCAUUGAGUGUCUCAUCCAUCCAAAUCCUCUUUUUUUUUUUUUACAAAAUUAAGAAUAUACACCAAGCUAGCCUAUUUCUAUAUUAUUUACAAUUUUAAGCGACGAUUCUAAAUUCGUACAGCUUAGAUAAUCAUUAGGGCGAAAAGCGGCACUUAUGUAUAAAGGUUUUUUUUUUGGUUUAUUCAACUCGCAAGUCAAAUGAAAAUGUAUUAUCUCUUACAAAGCAUGAAGUUUUUUAGAACUAUGUGAUCGAUCGCAUCGAGUGCUUUUAGAUCUGUUUAACAAAAAAAAAAAAUGAUAUAGAUGUCUCACAAAAUGUAUUCUUCCGCCACAUGUUUACAGCGCGGAUUAUUUGAAUUGUAAAUGUCAUUCAUGGUAUGUUUUUUUUUCUCAAACGAAUUUCUUCAUUGUUUCCAUUAAUAUAUAUGUAAUUUUUCCCCCCACUUAGUAAGAUCAACUUUGUCGGAUACUUUAGUAAUACCUUAAACACACAUUACUUUGUGCAACUCAUUUUUUUUCUUCAAAAACAUCAUUUCUGUACAAAAUUGAAAAAAACCAUUUACCGCGGAUGUAUUAAUCCGCGUUUUGUUUUGAAUGCGGACUAUUUGAUCCUUGUGUGUGACCGAAUGAAAGUGAAAAGUCCAUCGUGAAGUUUUGUUUCUCUCAUUUCGAGGAGCUGCUUCGUAUGAACACUUUGGUGUUGAGUGAUUCUACUUCGUUAUACUCUGCUUUGAAGGACAAGGUCGUGACCUACCUUUGACCCGUGUGUGAAAUGAUCCGUAACUCGGGGUUAUAGAGUAGGUUUAGCACGGGUUUACCCGUUGUUACUGUUUUAUUACUACAAUAAAUUCCCAUUACAAUAUCUU
rnacentral:misc_RNA from 1 species